UACAGAGGUCUCAAGCGUUGUUCGGAUUCAUUGGGCGUAAAGGGUGCGUAGGCGGCGCGGUAAGUCGGGUGUGAAAUCUUGGAGCUUAACUCCGAAACUGCAUUCGAUACUGCCGUGCUUGAGGACUGGAGAGGAGACUGGAAUUUACGGUGUAGCGGUGAAAUGCGUAGAUAUCGUAAGGAAGACCAGUGGCGAAGGCGGCUCACUGGACUGGUAUUGACGCUGAUGUGCGAAAGCGUGGGGAGCAAACAGG
rnacentral:rRNA from 1 species